AAUCAACGCUGGCGGCGCGCUUAACACAUGCAAGUCGCACGAGAAAGGGGAGCAAUCUCUGAGUACAGUGGCGUACGGGUGAGUAACACGUGGGUGAUCUACCUCUUAGUGGGGGAUAUCUCUGGGAAACCGGAGUUAAUACCGCAUAAGUUCGCAAGAAGAAAGCAGCAAUGCGCUGAGAGAGGAGCCCGCGGCCGAUUAGCUAGUUGGUGGGGUAAAGGCUCACCAAGGCAGAGAUCGGUAGCCGGCCUGAGAGGGCACACGGCCACACUGGCAC
rnacentral:rRNA from 1 species